GAAAUGCGAUAAGUAGUGUGAAUUGCAGAAUUCAGUGAAUCAUCGAAUCUUUGAACGCACAUUGCGCCCCUUGGUAUUCCAUGGGGCAUGCCUGUUCGAGCGUCAUUUGAACCCUCAAGCUCUGCUUGGUGUUGGGUGUUUGUCCCGCCAGAGUGCGUGGACUCGCCUUAAAGUCAUUGGCAGCCGGCCGCCUCAUCUCGGAGCGCAGCAGAUUCAGCGCAUCGAAGUCGGGAGCGGUGGCAUCCAGAAGCUCUUAUUUUCUACGUUUGACCUCGGAUCAGGUAGGGAUACCCGCUGAACUUAAGC
rnacentral:misc_RNA from 1 species